GUUUGAUCAUGGCUCAGGAUGAACGCUAGCGGCAGGCCUAAUACAUGCAAGUCGAACGGGAUUUGGGAGCUUGCUCUGAUGAGAGUGGCGCACGGGUGCGUAACACGUAUGUAACCUACCUUAAUCUGGGGGAUAGCCUCUCGAAAGAGAGAUUAACACCGCAUAACAUUAUCGGACAGCAUUUUCUGAUAAUCAAAUAUUUAUAGGAUUAAGAUGGGCAUGCGGAACAUUAGCUAGUUGGUAAGGUAAUGGCUUACCAAGGCUACGAUGUUUAGGGGAUCUGAGAGGAUGACCCCCCACACUGGUACUGAGACACGGACCAGACUCCUACGGGAGGCAGCAGUAAGGAAUAUUGGUCAAUGGGCGCAACUGAACCAGCCAUGCCGCGUGCAGGAAGACGGCCCUACGGUUGUAACUGCUUUUGUACCGGAAUAAACCUUGAUAUGUAUAUCGAGCUGAAUGUACGGUAAGAAUAAAGGAUCGGGCUAAC
rnacentral:rRNA from 1 species